rnacentral:lncRNA from 1 species
GCUGUGGAACUUCCAUUGAAGUCUUGGGGGAGGGGAGAACCAGUUAACCAGUCCCACCUGCCUGGCGAAGCAGCAUCCAAAGGAGCAGCAGCAUUCUCAGGUCAGACAAUACCUCCUAGCAUGCCUUCCCCUUUCCUGCUUUCCAAGCCACUGGCCCUUCAGCCAAGGGCCUAAUUCUACUUCAGAAUUUACAAAUGCAACGACCUCUAAGUCUUAUUUGCCUGAAAGUUUCCUGAAAGGAAAAUCUUCAUAU